UGUGAUCGAGGAGAAAUUUUCCUCUCCUGAUGGAAUUAAACGACAUCCAACUGAUUAAAAUUUCCAACAAUUUUUUUCGACAGCAUCCAAAAUCGUCUCACCCUCGCAUCGUUUUAUUUAAACGUAGUAGCUAAAUAUAUUGUUCGUACAUUGUUUACAAUCUCCUUAGAUCACUACAAUAUUUAAAUCGUGCAUCGCGUAACCAAUCGGUGCCAAGAUUUGUAAAUUGGGAAAUUUAGUAAGAGACGAGUUGUAGAAAUUUAAUACGAAAUCACUCAAAUUAACUCUCUGCAUCUUGAAGAAUACCGGUAGGAAAGGGUUUUAAAUUAAAUCCUGGUGCCGGAUGCUACGACUAUGGCUGGCGCCAUAUCAAAAGGCACAGUUGCUUCUCACGCCAAGAGAAAACAGUUUCCAAAUUUUCUAUGAUGCUAGAAUCUAUGACGACAAUCAGGAUUAUGGCAACUAAAGUUGUUUACUUGUGGAAAAAUACGCUUCUUGCAUAUAACUGUAUUAAUAGUAAUAAUAAUAAUAUGAUAAACAAGUAGAGGGGCAUGCUAAGAUAAAAUAAGACUACGUCAACUUGUUUUAUUUCUUAUUUAAAAUGUUGUACAUCAUUUUUUAUUUUUUUUUUCUUUUAUUUCCUCUUUAUGAUUUUACAAUUUAAAUUUAGAAAUGCAACAUAUGGACUAAAUGAAAGUCCUUUAAAGGUGCCUGUUAUAAAUACAUGUGAUUACAUUCGCACCUAACCAUGAUACGAUUCCUAUCUUUAUCCAUAAGAUUUAUUAUACUUAUCCACGUCAAUUUGUCUACAUAAUUCACCAGAAUAUUACAUUUUCCCGCCUCCAAAAUUCCAAUUCAAUUCCAACAGCCAUCCCCCGUCAAUCGAUCUAAAAUUAGAUUCUGAAUUUUAAAUCAAGAGCUUUUAAUUUUGAAUCUUCUGGAAUCCUUUAUCCUGAACUUUUAUAAUUUCAACCAAAAACUGGCCAAAGGAAAUGAAAUUCCCCUUCCAAGAAGAAUGCUCUAUACAAUUUUUAAGAAUGCCGAAACCUAAAAAUUCGUCUAAAUGAGGGACCAAUAAAUGAUGGUUUUAAAAUUUGUGGAAUCUCUUACAACGAAAUUUCAAAACCUAACCUAAGCCACAACCAAAGAAAAUCUCCUUGCAGAGAAUCCUCUAUAGAAUUCUAUACGACACCAAAUCUAAAAAAUUCUUUCAAACGAAAUAUUUUCUGCGUCAAAUUUUCUGCAAUCUGUCUACUCUAAAAUUCGUGAUUCUAACCUAAACCAUAGCGAAGAAUAAUUAAGUUGCGCUUGCGAGGAAUGCUGUAUACAUUUUUAUAAUACAAGUCGACUAGCGCGCGCGGGCUUUUUCAAAUUUCAAAUUUCGCAUUCUAAGCUAAAGAUUAAGUUCUAAUUAAUUUCUAUCGUUCGAGAAGUCCUGUAAAAUUAAUACGUAGAACUUCACCACCAAAGACACCAAAUCGUUC
rnacentral:misc_RNA from 1 species